rnacentral:lncRNA from 1 species
GUUCGCACUCAGGACGAUCAUUCCAUUUUAACUGUCAUGUCAUAUUUAGAUUUAAGAAAGAUGAAUGGAAGCCACGAGUAUACAUGGACAACUCUUCUGCCAGUGAAGAUAGUAAUAGGACACUAAAACUGGCUGGUUUAGUAAGCUACGCUAUGAUUGGAUAUCAGUAGGCACAUGGUUAAAAAAGAACCAAUCAAAGAGAGCGUUACUUACUCGUUUGUAUUGGUUACAAAAUGGCGGCGUGAGGGAGACCACGAUGUCGCAGUCAAAAUAUUCAGUUUUUUGACUAAUUGUAAAGAUUUUCAUACCAAAACACAAGAAGAAAAGGAUAUUGAGAAGAAAGAAAAGAGUAAGGAGUAUGAAACAACCCAACGAACACGUAAAUACCAGAGUAAGUGGAGCGGUGAAUUUCCCUGGUUGAUAACCGACCAACAAUCUCUGUUUUGUAAAGUAUGCAGAUCGUGUUACGGCCCGCUGUCGCAAACAAGGAUUCCUUCCUCUUAUGAUAGAUAUAAACGUGGACCUUUUGUGCUUGGUUGUCUCAAUUUGAAACACGAUGCUUUAAAAACCCAUCAUCUGUCAUUUGGUCAUACUAGGGCCGUGGAAUUUCACAAAGCGAAGGAAAUGAGACCCGGGGAAUCUCCAGCGGAGCAAUCGAUGGAAAACUGAAUGCAAAAGCUUUCAAAACCCUGAAUACACUGUUUAGCAACUGUCAUGCCCUAGCUAAAAAUUCAAGACCAUUUAUGGAUUACGUUUGGCAACGAAAACUUGAUGCCAGAAAAGGAAUUGAAACUGGUAAAGCAUAUGCAUCAGAUAAAUCUGCUGCUUCGUUUACACAAGCUAUUGCAGAAACUGAGAAUUUGAAAAUUGAACAACAGAUUAAAGAUGCCAAUUUCUUUUCAAUAUUGAGUGACGGCUCCACAGAUGUUAGCACACAAGAAAAUGAAAUUGUCUACCUCAGAUGUGCUAUCAGAGGAAAAAUCUUUGUAUUUUUCGUCAAGUUAAUCCAUGUCAAAAGAGCAGAUUCUCUUGGCAUUUAUCAAGCAUUGCUCAAAGCAAUGAACACUUUCACAGAUAUUCCAGUCAAGAAUAGGCUGAUUGCCUUUGGUUGUGAUGGUGCAUCUGUUAACACUGGGAAAAAGAAUGGUGUCAUCGUCCAUCUUCAGAAAAACAUUUCUUCUGCCAUUGUCAUGAUUCACUGCAUGGCCCACAGAUUGAAUUGUGCUUCAAGGCAGCUUUCAAAACAUCAAAACAGUAUGCAGACGUUAUGAAAAUGCUUCAUCUUCUCUACUCUUUCUACAAAGGUUAUCUCCAAAGUAAAUUGUACAGCCAUGAAACUUCAUAAUUUCAUUAGCGCUACUUGCAAGUUCAAGGUUGAAGAUCAAUGCUAAAGGGAUCUUUUGAAUCACUUGGUGUUGCACCAGUGAUGCCUACGAGGAUUGGGGCACCAGAUGGGUUGGGCAUACUGUCACAGCUCUGCAGCAGUUGUGGAAAGGCUAUAAAGCUUUUGUUCACCAUACUGGCCAGACAGCAGGGCCUGGCAGUGGUGCAGACAGUUCUGCUCAGAUCAAAGCAAAGUCCCUCUUCAAGCUCCUAACACAGAGAUCACUUAUAGUGUAUGCUCAUUUCCUUCAUGACGUCCUGAACACAUUGAGCAAACUAUCAGCAGAACUACAACGAAAGGAUGUGACCAUCCAUGAGUGCCACGAACAGUUAAAGGCUACUAUUGCUACUCUGGAACAGAUGAAAGAAAAACCUGGAUUUCAUCUACGUGCAGUAGAGAAUAAGAACACUUUCCAUGGCCAGUCACUGUCUGGAGAGGCUGUUUCAUCGUCCACUCUGAAAAAGAGUUUGGAGCAGACAAACUUACAGCCAUCACAGACCACUACAGAGAGUUCCUCACCGACCGUACUGACAUUGAGCUUGAUCUGAUUGACCAGGAGUGGAUGAGUCUAAAA